rnacentral:rRNA from 1 species
UAACGCAUUAAGUUCCCCGCCUGGGGAGUACGGCCGCAAGGCUAAAACUCAAAGGAAUUGACGGGGACCCGCACAAGCGGCGGAGCAUGCGGAUUAAUUCGAUGCAACGCGAAGAACCUUACCAAGGCUUGACAUAUACGAGAACGGGCCAGAAAUGGUCAACUCUUUGGACACUCGUAAACAGGUGGUGCAUGGUUGUCGUCAGCUCGUGUCGUGAGAUGUUGGGUUAAGUCCCGCAACGAGCGCAACCCUCGUUCUAUGUUGCCAGCACGUAAUGGUGGGAACUCAUGGGAUACUGCCGGGGUCAACUCGGAGGAAGGUGGGGAUGACGUCAAAUCAUCAUGCCCCUUAUGUCUUGGGCUUCACGCAUGCUACAAUGGCCGGUACAAAGGGCUGCAAUACCGUAAGGUGGAGCGAAUCCCAAAAAGCCGGUCCCAGUUCGGAUUGAGGUCUGCAACUCGACCUCAUGAAGUCGGAGUCGCUAGUAAUCGCAGAUCAGCAACGCUGCGGUGAAUACGUUCCCGGGUCUUGUACACACCGCCCGUCAAGUCAUGAAAGUCGGUAACACCUGAAGCCGGUGGCCCAACCCUUGUGGAGGGA